CCUACGGGAGGCAGCAGUGAGGAAUAUUGGUCAAUGGGCGUAAGCCUGAACCAGCCAUCCCGCGUGCAGGAAGAAGGCGCUAUGCGUCGUAAACUGCUUUUCCAGGGGAAGAAAACCCGCUACGUGUAGUGGCUUGCCGGUACCCUGGGAAUAAGCAUCGGCUAACUCCGUGCCAGCAGCCGCGGUAAUACGGAGGAUGCGAGCGUUAUUCUGAUUUAUUGGGUCUUAGGGGUGUGAAGACGGAUGAAGAGAAAACCUUCAGCUUAACUGGAGACUUGCCAUUGAUACUGUUAGUCUUGAGUACGGUCAAGGUAGGCGGAAUGUGUAAUGUAGCGGUGAAAUGCUUAGAUAUUACACAGAACACCGAUUGCGAAGGCAGCUUACUGGGCCAUUACUGACGCUGAUGCACGAAAGCGUGGGGAGCGAACAGGAUUAGAUACCCCAGUAGUC
rnacentral:rRNA from 1 species